rnacentral:snRNA from 1 species
GCAUCGGGUUGAUCUGGCUUCGAUAUCUGAUGUCCAGGAUUGAUUUGGCUAAUCUGGUUUGCUAAGUACAGUCUUCACUUUACCUAUUCAUUCCAUUAAAGUCCCUACUGAAAUUGUGCUUUGGUCAAAGGGAGCAACAUUCACAGAGUGAGAGGGACCAUUCAUUAGUCAAGGCUAAAUCAAUUGAUGAGCUCCAUUUUUUUCUUGUAAAACAAAGUGUACUUAACCACAGUUCUCAGCUCUUAACUUGUGCUAACAGAUCCAGGAGAGGAGAUUGUUGUGUA